rnacentral:rRNA from 1 species
GGAAACGACUGCUAAUACCGAAUAAGUUCCAAGAGCCGCAUGGCCCAUGGAAGAAAAGGUGGCCUCUACCUGUAAGCUAUCGCCUGAAGAGGGGUUUGCGUCUGAUUAGCUGGUUGGAGGGGUAACGGCCCACCAAGGCGACGAUCAGUAGCCGGUCUGAGAGGAUGAACGGCCACACUGGAACUGAGACACGGUCCAGACUCCUACGGGAGGCAGCAUG